rnacentral:rRNA from 1 species
UACGUAGGGUGCAAGCGUUAAUCGGAAUUACUGGGCGUAAAGCGUGCGCAGGCGGUUUUGGUAAGUCUGUCGUGAAAUCCCCGGGCUCAACCUGGGAACUGCAUUUGUGACUGCAUCGCUGGAGUGCGGCAGAGGGGGAUGGAAUUCCGCGUGUAGCAGUGAAAUGCGUAGAUAUGCGGAGGAACACCGAUGGCGAAGGCAAUCCCUGGGCCUGCACUGACGCUCCAUGCACGAAAGCGUGGGGAGCAAACAGG